GUGUGGAGUUGUGCGCGGUAUCGUGCAGCGCGCCAGGAUUUCGUACUGCACGAAAUCUUCGCGCGCCACCGGCCUGUCGCGUAAAUAACGGCCAAAUUGGGGCAGGGUUGUGUUUCUGGUCGAGACCCUUCUUCAGACAAUCACAAG